AUACUUACCUGGCAGGGGAGAUACCAUGAUCACGAAAGUGGUUUUCCCAUUGCACUCCGGAUGUGCUGAGCCCUGCGACUUCCCCAAAUGUGGGAAACUCGACUGUAUAAUUUGUGGUAGUGGGGGACUGCAUUCGCUCUCUCCCCUG
ensembl:snRNA U1 U1 spliceosomal RNA